CCCUAGCAGAGGUGAUCGUUGCACUAGUCUGGAGCUCGUGUAUCGAUAUGAAGUCCAUAUGGUGUGCAGCAAUGUGGGUGGAUGCAAAGGAAAUCCGUUCGUACGUUUUGGGUAUUCUGUGGUGUUUCGGUGUAGUCAGCUUUAAUAGUGUUUUAUGUACUCAGCUGAUGUGUCCUCUUCUAAGUGGUCUAUGAUAAAGUGGGUUUAGAGGAUGCACCGGUUAGAAGCAUUUCUCUUUGAAAAAUGGACAAGGUGCAUGUUCCCCAUGUGUUGGUUGGUAAAGGUAGCAAAAUAGGUGGUUGGGGGUGGCAACAAGGAGGGGAGAAGAGCUUGCAAGCGUGCAGGGAGGGUUGAGGCUUGGAGGGUUUUGUAUCUUUUAAGGCUAGUGCAUGAGACCAGUGCAUGACGCGUGGCUCAUGCACACACUAGAAGUCCAGAGUUGAGGUUGUUGAGAAGGUGGAGAAGAUGAAACAUUCUCAAUUAUGCGGUAUAAGAAGGUGUAGAUUUAAGUUGAAUGGAUAUAAAGUGCCAAAAGGAGGCUAACUGACCAUAUAUUGAGACAUUUGGCGAUGAGAGGGAAGAACAAAGGAGCUAGAGCUCCUACCUUCUCUCUGGAGGUGAGGUGUUGUAAUGGGCUUUGUGUCCUGGCUAAACAGUGUGGAAGAAGGGGUUUGUGAUCUUGGAGUAGAAGAUUGGUCGUCGACCUAGUGGCGGAACCAGCAAUUUUUUUUAGGGGGAGCCAACUUUUCUAUCGUCUAACACAUUUAUGUAAAAUAAGAAUUAAAGGGAUUAAAAUUAAAAAAAAAAUAACAAUAUAUAAAAUUAGAUCUCGAUAAUUUACUACAUAAAUGUAAAAAUGAAAUUCUAAAAACAUAACUUAAUAAAUUUAUUAUUUAUCCUAAGCUUAGUUUAAAUUAAUUUUAGUGAUACCACAUCAUUGAAAAUAGAAAAUAUAUAAAGAUAAUACAAAAAUUUGGGACUACAGGAAAAAUAUUAGAGAGAGGCAUUUCUAGGUAUAUUGAAAUUUUAGAGAACAUAUGAGGAUUAUAAAUUUGUUGGAGGGGGGUGGGGGUCAUUCUCUAUAUUUAUAGAAUUAUAAAUAAAAUUUAGGGAUAUUUUGAAAUUUUAAAUUUUUUUUAAAGCCAACGUGGGUCCAUCACUGCGUCGACCACUAUAUAGUUAUUCAUAAUAGUUCUUCUAUAUACAGUCCUGUCCACCUAGCCCUGCGCAUUAAUCACUUCAAUGAUGGGAAUGCCCAUGCUCCAGCCAAUGAUGAAAAUGCCCAUGAAUGAAUCAAUUACAAAAAUGCCCCUGACCUCAAUAAAGUUAUGUUGCAAAAUUCAUUUCUGCCCAGUAGCCUGCGCUCCUCUUUGCCAUUUCUGUGUGCAUUUCCGUCCAUCGGCAUCGACCUGCGCAACUCCACCACCAUCGGCCUGUGCAGCUCCACCACUAUUGACGUGUUCCAAAGCAAAGAUUUGCAACAAAUGAGUUCCACCCAGCCCACACCACCCACCAACUAGCAUUAUUUGCUGGGCUGGUUAAUCACGUGAUUUACAUGUGACUCAUAAGCUGCAACAGAAAGACUUCACGCUUGAGUUGCAGGAUCUUGACACGUGGUGGCAUCUGACUUCUCAUAUAUAUGUUGUUAUCCGAUGCCUUGUAACCCUAAUCUUCAUUUUGUGCAUUCGGGCUGAGGGGAGCUUUGAGCGAGAGUGAGAAUAGAGAGGGGAAAUCUAGGAUUUGCAUUAGGGUGCUCACUUGAGGGGAAAAUCUCUGCGAUUUUCUGGUGUGAGAUGAGGGCUUUGUAAAUGAAAGGAUUUUUGAGGCUUAUCUGUGAUGGAUUUUGAUUAUCAAUAAAGCUCUGAGGCCAUUCCUGCUGUGGACGUAGACCAUUAGGGUCGAACCACGUAUAUCC